CUCAAAUCUUAUAAAAUAGCCCCACCCCAUCUCCCUUCUCUGACUCUCUUUUCAGACUCAACCCGCCUGUGCCCAGGUGAUUAAAAAGUGUAUUGCUCACACAAAGUCUGUUUGGUGGUCUCUUCACACAGACGCGAGUGAAAGAAUAAUGGUCUCCAACUCAGUCCAGGUUGCUGUGAAUGCCAUUAUUUGAUUCGUUUUUAUAGGUUAAUACUAGAAUUUAUUAUUCAAAUGGAGGCUGCAUGUGUGACAGGAAUCCCUGUAUAUGAUUCCCUCUUUAAGAUUCUUCCAGAACAGAAACAGCAGUGUGGAUAUCUCUUUAACAUGAAGGAUGAUCCCAACAUAACUUCUGUAAUCUGAAGGCUUUUUGGAUAUCCUGCUCAGUAGCAUUCGACUCUUCUCCUUUUUAAAGAAUAAUGGAAAACCUUCAGGAAUUAACUAUUUCAUUUAUCUACCAUCAUUCCCAUAAAUUGAACAAUUGUUGAAAAAUCACUGCAUGGAAAAUAGGGAAUGUUCAUUAUUUUUUGUCAUGUUGUCUGCUAUCCUCUAUGAGAUAUUUGCACCAAAAUUUAAGGGUUUUUUUUUUUGUCAGAAUAGCAGAGUCAUAAAAAAUGUUUACAAAUGUAAAAAGAAAUAUCCUAAGGUCUUGAGCUUUGACUAUAAAAUACAAACUAGAAAAAGGUAAAUUUUCACAUGUGAAGUAACUAUUGUGAGGAACAAUUACCUGACAGUAUUAGUCACAGGUUAUUCAAGAAGAAAGUAUUUAAUAAGCAUGUUUGUGCUUCUUUAUGAUCAACACUUUGAAUAUGUGUGUAUGAGAAAAUGUUUAUACAGUGUGAAUUUAAUACCUUAUUCUAGCCUUCUGUUCUGAUCAUACUUAUAAGCAUUUGAAAUUCAAUGACAAAUUCAGCUAUUGUAUUUUCAAGUGUUUACUUCAUAUUCUGUCUAAACAACCAUAAAAAUAAUACAGUGAUUUGAGGGCUAAAUUAUUUGGAGUAACUCAAGAAGUAUAGAAAAAUGAAUAUCAAUAUAUCAAAGAGAAUAUUUAAAAAUAAAGCAUGCAAGGGUCCUGGGGCUGAAAAACAUAAAAAUAAAGCAAAAGUUAAACAUACUCACUGUAUUAGUCCAUUUUCACACUGCUAUAAAGAAACUACCUGAGAAUGGAUAAUUUAUAAACAAAAGAGGUUUAAUUGACUCACAGUUCUGCAUGGCUGGAGAGGCCUCAGGAAACCUACUAUUAUGGCAGAAGGCAAAGGGGAAGCAGGCACCUUCUUCACAAGACAGCAGGAGAGAGAGAGAGUACACAGGGGAAAACUGUCACUUUUAAAAACCAUCAAAUCUCAUAAGAACUCCCUCACUAUCAUGAGAAUAGAAUAGGGGAAACUGCCCUCAUGAUCUAAUCACCUCCCUCCAGGUCCCUCCCUCAACACGUGGGGAUUGCAAUUCAAGAUGAAAUUGGAGGGGGAACACAGAGCCAAACCAUAUCACUCACAAACUCUCAAAUUAAUUAAGGUAAAUUUUAUAAUGCACAACUUUCCAAGAUCAGGAAAAUCUUAUUUAUAUUAUAAAAAGAUAUUACCAAGAAGGCAAAGUAAGAGAAAUCAGUCUUCAUUCCUACACACACAUAAAAACAAAUUUAAACAGCUAUUUACAAAUUAAAAUAGCUCAGAGGGCUCAAAGGAGCAUGAAAGAAUCUGCAGAAACACAAUAGGAAAAUGAAAAAAGGAAAAGGAAAAGAAGAGAGAAGGAGCAUAUAGACAGAAUUCCUGGUGAAGAUUGGCAAACUUGAGAUGCCAAGAGAAAGCUAGGAGCAAAGAAGGGCAGAAGCCAGUGACAUCUACCACAUGCCAAGAACUACCCUAGUCCCAAUGGCCUGCUUCUUAGAGGACACUGGCAUCUCUUGCCAUCGGUUACCAACAGCCAUUCCUGCUGGGGAACCUUAGAGAGGGAGACAUGGCCCCACACCCGAUCCCUACCUAAGAAGUAGCAGCUGUCGAGCCACUUUGGAAAAGAAGCUUUCACCUCUCCUAAUUCUAUGCAUGCCAUGACUCUGGAGCUAGAACUGCUCAAAGAGUGCCCACACCCAGACCUAGUCUCUGUUGCUACUCUUAGGCACUGGAUCAGCUGACAUGGAGAGCUAACUACCACCCUAACCCCUGACCCACGGAAGCUAGCACAUGUCUACACUCAUAAUUAUUUUGGAGAGCUUUGUUCAUGCUUUGAUUUGUUUUUGUAUUUUUGUGUGUGUUGUAGAGAUUGGAGUCUUGCUGUGUUGCCCAGUCUGUAAUGCCAGCAGGCAGACAAGCCCCAAUAUUGAGGCUUAGCCCAGGAGGCUUCUGGGCUUCACCUAGAAGAAAAUUUGAGGGUGAGCUGAUGGUGUUAAACAACGAUCUUUUAUUGACUGGAACUGCUCCUUGUGGAGCAUUGCUAACUCACAGGGAGUGUGCUCAGAGCCACUUAUGACUGUUGGCAACUGUAUUUAUGGCCACUUAUUUCCACUUUCAAUUACAUGCAAAUUAAAGUGUGGAUUAAUGCAAAUUGAGGGGUGAGUUAUUCAGAAUUUUCUAGGAAAGAAGCAGUAACUUCUGGGUCAUUUCAAUGGAAAGAGGCAGUAGCUUCUGGGUCAUGGCUAUAGUAUUUGUAAACUGUCAUGGCACUAGUGGGAAUGUUUUAUGCUAAUAACCAAUGGGGGCAACUAGGGAUCACUUUUGUCUCCAUCUGCUGGUUCCUGCCAGCUUCUUCACUUCAUCCCAUUGGGGCUGGAAAAUAAGUUCUGUCCAUUUCCUACCCCAUCUGGACUUGAACUCCUAUGCUCAAGCUGGGGCUAUAGGUGCAUGGAACCACACUGAGUUUUUUAUGUUUUGAUGUAUAAUUCUAGUUAAUUAUUUCAUAGUGGUAUAGUAUCUCAUUUUACUGGUGUUCUACAAUUUAUUGAUUAAUUUUCCUGUGGAUGACAUUUAAGUUGUAUCAGUUAGGAAAGGCUAGGUUUUUACUGGAAUAGGAAAACAACCCCAAAAUACCAGAAAAAAAGUUUUUUUCUUGCUUAGAUAGAGUCUACUAUAGCUUAAGGAGAUGCUCAGCUCCACAGUGUACUCAGAGAUCCAAGUGAUAAAGGUUUUCUACCUGGAAAAUUGUGGCCACUGUGGCAAUGGGGAGUGAAACAGGGAAAUUAUGCUAUUCACUUCCAUCCCAUGUUUGCUGGCUAGAACCAGUCAUGUUCAGCUGAGAAAAGUAGGUUCUAUAGACUCAAAAAGGAAAAGAGAACCAGGUAUUGAUAAGCAGUAGUAAUAUUGAUUACUGUUUCUCGUUUUUACUACUGCAAACCCUGUUGAUGUCUCAUUGUGUCACGUGAAAGAAAUUACCUAGGAGUGAAAGUGCUUGGCUUAGGAAAUACGGCCUUUUCAGCUUUCUUAAGUAACACAUAAAUUGCAUUUUCAAAGAGUGCUACUGCCCUCCCACCUCGAAAGGAUGAGUCCCUGUUUCUCAUAUUUCCUUCCAAUAGUAGGUGCUGUGAGCCCUUUUUCUCCCCAUCUGAUUGGCAUCCAUGGUAUUUUGUUGUGAUUUUAAUUCACAUCAGUUUGAUUGUGGUUAAUGUUGAAUAACCUUUUGGAUUUUGGACACUCAGGGUUUGUAUUUUGUGAGUUAUCUAUUUAUGCCCUUUGCUCAUUUUUCUAUUGUCUUUUCUUAUUAAUUUUAGAAGCUGUCUACAUAUAAUGAUUACAUGCAUGACAAAUAUU
rnacentral:lncRNA from 1 species